rnacentral:rRNA from 1 species
GAUGAACGCUGGCGGCGUGCCUAAUACAUGCAAGUCGAACGAGGUGCUUUUGUAGCAAUACGGAAGUAUCCUAGUGGCGAACGGGUGAGUAACGCGUUGGUGACCUACCCCAAAGUGUGGGAUACCAGUCCGAAAGGACUGCUAAUACCGCAUGUGGUCUUCGGGCUUAGAAACCGAUGACUAAAGGAGCAAUUCGCUUUGGGAGGGACCUGCGUCCCAUCAGCUAGUUGGUAGGGUAACGGCCUACCAAGGCUACGACGGGUAGGGGACCUGAGAGGGUGGCCCCCCCANAAUGGAACUGAAACACGGUCCAUACACCUACGGGUGGCAGCAGUAGGGAAUAUUGCACAAUGGGCGAAAGCCUGAUGCAGCAACGCCGCGUGU